AAGUUACAUUGUUAUUGCUAUUUUUCUAACAAAUGGUAUUUAGUUUUUAGCAUGCAUACUUAACAAAGUCUAGAACAAAUUACUAUAUAUUUUCUCAGCUAACAUAAUAAAAGGAUUUAGAUAUAAUUAUUUAACUCAAAGGACUGCAUUCUUAUCUUUGUCAUGUAUUUUAAUUCUGCUAUUUUUGCUCUUCUUGACUGUGCUUUGGGGGUCAUAUCCAAGAAACCAUUGCUCAGACCAGUGUCAUGGAGCUUUUUUUGAAUGGUUAACUUAUAUUUCUCUGAACCUGAUAUUCUACCUGAAAUCACUCCUUUAUCAUUCACUUUGUGUGCACCAUCAACUUUUGCGACUGGUUGCAGUGAUCACUUCAAUGGCCUUUCCCAAUUCCCUUCUCUUACCUGCUUUUCAGUAUUUUCAGACUAUUCUUGUUAGGUAGGGGAUAACUAUGGUUUUAGUUUUUUAAAAUCUUCUCUUUCAGUUUAUCCAUUAUCUCAAGUUCUUAAGAGAAUUACCCUCCUUGUUAUGUCUGCAGGCUACA
rnacentral:lncRNA from 1 species